GAUGAUCUUGACCAAAUUGAGGAAAAGGAGGAUGCAGAAAGAGAACUUCAAGAAGCAGAGAGAAAGCACCAAGAAGAGAUCAAAAAACUCGAGAAAGAGCGAUGAAUUUUGCGACAUCAUCAUCUUAAAUAGCAAUUCUUUGGAGCUGUUUUGAGUUUCUAGUCUCAUCUUAGAAAAAUCAACUGAUUUUAAUAACCCCAACUGUA
rnacentral:misc_RNA from 1 species